GAAGAGGAAGAAGAAAUUGAGAUGCUUUUGGAAAACUACCUCCAAAGAAAGAACGGGCUUUAACUGGAAUGACUUGUGAGAAUGGCUUACUUGGGGAAAUGGGAGCCUGAGUUUUCACAACUAACUUUGUGUUUCCUCUGAAGUUAUUAAAAAUGGCUCAUUUUUCAGGUUUUGGGUGGAAAUAUUAGCAAGGAUCAUUGCCAAGUGAAUUAAUUUGCUUGAUUAUUGUUAAUUGCAAGAGGAGGAUUUUAGUCCAAUUUUAGGGAAACCUCUAUCGAAUUUUUUUCUAGGAAAUGGACAAGAGUUGGAUAACAAAGGAUAGACUUUCAAAAGAGUAUGAAGAGGGAGUCGACAACUUUAUUAAGUUAGCGUUAGAAAAUACAACAGAUCCUUCCAGAGUUCAUUGUCCCUGUAGAAAAUGUUCAAAUUUGAAAAAAUUAGACAUAAUGGAGAUAAAAAGUCAUCUAUACAUUAACUGAAUGGACCAAACAUAUGUCAAGUGGAUUUGGCAUGGUGAAGAAUAUGACUCUAACAAUAAUGUUCCCAAUGAAAGAAAGCAAUUUGAUCAAGUGUUUGAUGACCCUAUAGAGAUGGUGAGAGAUGCAGAAGAACGUUUUGUUGAUAAGCCUCAAGAAUUUUUGAAAUUUUUAGAAGAUGCAGAGAAACCAAUAUUCUCGGGGGCACCUUUGUCAAAAUUGGUUGUUUUAGUAAAACAAUACAACUUGAAAGCUGGUAGUGGUUGGAGUGACACAAGUUUCACAAAGUUAUUAACUUUAUUAAAAGAAAUUUUACCAAAAGACAAUGAAUUGCCUUCCUCGCUUUAUGAAGCAAAAAAAACAUUGUGCACAUUAGGAAUGGAGUAUAGCAAGAUUCACGCUUGUCCAAAUGAUUG